UGUUCAUCAGUCAUGUCUCCUUUUAUUAGUCUUGCUUUCUAUUUUGAAUUUUUAUUCACACAAAAUAUAGAAGAUUUACUGUUAUGUAGACUACUGCAUUAUUGUAAUAAUUGUAUAAAUAAUGUCAACCCAUUCGUGACUGCAUAUUAGAAUGGCUAGUUGGACAUUUAUUGGACAAUAAUGUAAUUUGUUUACUCUCGAACAUCAGCAAAAAUCGAACAUUUCCGCUACUUUGAGCUCUAUUUCAAGGUAAUUUUCAUAGUGAAAUCAGUCAAAAUCAUCUCUAUUUCUAUGAUAUGUCUUCCAUUCUAUCAAGUGAGACCAAGAAAACGAGAAUACAAAAAUAAAUAAUAUACGAAAAUACACCUCAAAGUCAGCGUUUUAAUCCAAAAUCAUGGUCGGAGAUUUUUUUCUCAUUAUGAACUUCGUGCUGCGGAAUUUCUUUUAUACUGCGCACACUGACCACACCGACCCAUUCUUUCACAUGUGGGAGUACCAGCUUUCUCCCGCUUGAUUUGAAGCCACUAGAAUAUUUUAAUAUGUGUACGUAUGUCAAACACAUUGACUCGUAAAAUGUAUAUAUAUGACCUAAGCAGUCAAAGGGUUAAUGAGCAGGUAUACCUAAUAAAAUUGCCACUGAGUGUAUACACUUUCUCCACUAACUAAAAUUAAAGUUUCUCAAAUUAAAAUUUAGGAUCAUUGCAUUCUCAGUUUAUUCGUCUUUUAGAGAUUUAAUAAUUUUUCAUAAAGAUUUUUUCUUCUACAUGUAGGUGUUAAUUCCUCUUGCAAGAUGAGCAAAAUCUUCGCAGACCCUGAUUCUUAGAGAACGAUGGUAGUGACAUUAGUUGAACUCUAAGCUUCUAAAUUUAAAGUAUUUUAUGUAGUUAUUUUCAUUUGGACAUUUUUUAUUAACCCUUUGAGGGUCCAGACUCCUGACCUAACACUUGUCUACAGGGUAGAAGAUUUUUUUUUUUUUUAUGAAAUGGUAGAGAAUCUUUUUCUGAAGGUACUAAAACUAAAUUUGGUGGAAAAUUGACAAAAUAAUGCUUUCGUGAAUUUUGUUGUGUUAACAAUAUCUGUGCAUUGCCAGUUUUGCUCACUUAGAGUCCUAUUUUAGGCCAAUUACAUUGUUCCAGUUGACCAAAUUAUUAGCUGUUUCGCUAGUAUGCCUUUCAUUUUAUCGGUUGAGCACAAGUAACUGCCCGAUCAACUGUUUCACACAAAUUUUAAAUUAUUCCAGUUUCAAGAUAGGGUCCAAAGUAGACAAUGCAGGCAUUCCUGGCACUAAAAUAACAUUUCCUCUGUUCGUUAGUUACAUUUCCAGGCUUUACACAUUAAUUCCAUUUUGAUUUUUUAUUCACACAAAAAAUGGAAGUUACUGUUAUGCAAGAGUGUAAUAAUUGUACAAAUAAUAUCAGUGCCUUAAUGAACAUGCAUUAGACCUGCCAGCUGAUGUGUAUUGGACACGUGAUGUGAUUUGUUUACCCUCAAAUAUUGACCAAAAUCAAACAUUUCCCCUAUUUUGAGCUCAAUUUCGAGCUAUUUUCAGUCCUAAAACCAAUCAAAAUCAUCUUUAUUUCUGUACUAUAUUUUGCAUUCUAUCAAAUGAGACCAAGAAACCACAAAUGCAACCAUAAAAACAAUAGUGGAAAGUCUCUGUUUUAAACCAAAAACACAGUCGCUGUUUUUUCUCAUGCCUCAAACCCAUAGAACAAUGGCACGGACCCUCAAGUGGUUAAUGAUAAAAAUGUACCGUGUAUGUUUUAUAGCACAUUUUGUGGGGUUCUACAUUUUAAAGAUGUGUUUAGCCAAUUCGUGUUUGUAAUUAGUCACAAAAACAAGUAAUGAUUAAAAUGUUGAAGGUGUACAGUACUCAUUUGCUGUACCAGUGCUGUCUUAUUGUCAGAUUGUGAAAGUGAAAUCUAAAAUUUAGUGCAUCCUAAAUUUUACUGUACAGUAUUUCCAUUGAUACAGUUUAUGAAAAUAUGUUUAGAUUUAAAAUAAAAACUUUCAGAAAGCUAAUUAUUUAACUUUACUUUUUCAGUAAUCCCAUACGACGCCCCAAGAAGCAGAAGUAUCCUUCUCUCCGUGGAGUUGAUCCUAAGUUUCUGCGAAACAUGAAGUUUUCCCGCAAGCACAACCUUACCACAAAGAAGCAGCGUGAGGUAGCAGCAGUAAGAGCGGCAAAGAAAGCAAAAUUCCUGGCUGCAAUUGCUGAGAAAAAGGUGUGAAUGCUGACCUUCCCUCUUUGAUUAAAUAAACUUGUGAGGAAGUUU